CGAACGUUAGCGGCGGGCCUAACACAUGCAAGUCGAACGAGAAAGUCCUUCGGGGCGAGUAUAGUGGCGCACGGGUGAGGAACGCGUAGGUAAUCUACCCUCCGGCGGGUGACAACAUUCCGAAAGGAAUGCUAAUACCGCAUAAGACCACGUUCACUACGGUGAGAGUGGUAAAAGGCGCCUCAAAGCGCCACCAGAGGAUGAGCCUGCGUCCCAUCAGCUUGUUGGUAAGGUAACGGCUUACCAAGGCUAAGACGGGUAGCUGGUCUGAGAGGAUGAUCAGCCACACUGGCACUGGAACUCGGGCCAGACUCCUACGGGAGGCAGCAGUGAGGAAUAUUGGGCAAUGGGCGAAAGCCUGACCCAGCCACGCCGCGUGUGUGAUGAAGGCCUUCGGGUCGUAAAGCACUGUGGGGAGAGACGAAACCGCGCAUCAGGAAAUGGUUGCGCCUUGACGGUACCUCCUUAGCAAGCACCGGCUAACUCU
rnacentral:rRNA from 1 species